rnacentral:misc_RNA from 1 species
GAUGAAGAACGCAGCGAAAUGCGAUAAGUAAUGUGAAUUGCAGAAUUCAGUGAAUCAUCGAAUCUUUGAACGCACAUUGCGCCCGCCAGUAUUCUGGCGGGCAUGCCUGUUCGAGCGUCAUUUCAACCAUCAAGCCCCCGGGCUUGUGUUGGGGUCCUGCGGCUGCCGCAGGCCCUGAAAAGCAGUGGCGGGCUCGCUGUCACACCGAGCGUAGUAGAUUUUAUCUCGCUCAGGGCGUGCUGCGGGUUCCGGCCGUUAAACCACCUUCAUAACCCAAGGUUGACCUCGGAUCAGGUAGGAAGACCCGCUGAACUUAAGCAUAACAAUAAGCGGAGGA